rnacentral:sRNA from 1 species
AGGAUUAUGAGUAUAUGGGGAUGCUUAUCCGACAUUCAAUGUCACAGCGGUGAGAAAAGUAAAAGGGGAAUAAAAUUCCCCUUUUUUAAGAUAA